UGCGGGCCGCGCUGCCCGCCCGCUAGCCCCCCGCCCCCGCUCCUUGCACGCUGCACGCCGGCCCGGCCCAGAGGCCCGGGGUACAGAGACCAAGGCUGGGACCCUCCACAAGUCCUGAUGGGCCACAGCCUCCAGGAAGACAGAAGACAGAUGAAUCAAGCUAUUGCAGAAGGACCCUAAGAAUUAAGACCACUUUCUGGGCAAAACUGUGAAGCAGAGGAAGGGGAGAAAAUGGAAGAAGAAAGGAGCAUGGGUUGAGAGGACCUGCUGUGUGCCAGGGUCCUAAAUCAUAAGCUUGAAAACUUCUGGAAGAAAGAAGACCGCGAAGGUGUUAAGCUGAAGGGAGCUGUGAGUUCAGAGCCUCUCCUCAGCCUAGGAGUGUGACGCAAUCAUUAAAGAUGGACU